GUCUACAGCCAUGCCACCCUGAAUGUGCCUGAUGUCAUCUGAUCUUGGAACCUAAGCAGGGUCGGGCCUGGUUAGUACUUGGAUGGGAGACCAUCUAGGAAGACCAGGUGUUGUAGGUG
rnacentral:rRNA from 1 species